rnacentral:rRNA from 1 species
UGGGGAAUAUUGCACAAUGGGCGAAAGCCUGAUGCAGCAACGCCGCGUGAGUGAUGAAGGUCUUCGGAUUGUAAAGCUCUGUCUUUUGGGACGAUAAUGACGGUACCAAAGGAGGAAGCCACGGCUAACUACGUGCCAGCAGCCGCGGUAAUACGUAGGUGGCGAGCGUUGUCCGGAUUUACUGGGCGUAAGGGUGCGUAGGCGGAUGUUUAAGUGAGAUGUGAAAUACCCGGGCUUAACUUGGGUGCUGCAUUUCAAACUGGAUAUCUAGAGUGCAGGAGNGGAGAAUGGAAUUCCUAGUGUAGCGGUGAAAUGCGUAGAGAUUAGGAAGAACACCAGUGGCGAAGGCAUUCUCUGGACUGUAACUGACGCUGAGGCACGAAAGCGUGGGUAGCAAACAGGAUUAGAUACCCUGGUAGUCACGCCGUAAACGAUGAGUACUAGGUNUAGGAGGUAUCGACCCCUUCUGUGCCGCAGUAAACACAUUAAGUACUCCGCCUGGGAAGUACGAUCGCAAGAUU